CACAUGACUCUCAGCAACGGAUAUCUUGGCUCUCGCAUCGAUGAAGAACGUAGCAAAAUGCGAUACCUUGUGUGAAUUGCAGAAUCCCGUGAACCAUCGAGUUUUUGAACGCAAGCUGCGCCCGAGGCCUUUUGGUCGAGGGCACGUCUGCCUGGGCGUCACAU
rnacentral:rRNA from 1 species